AUUGAACGCUGGCGGAAUGCUUUACACAUGCAAGUCGAGCGGCAGCGCGGGGGCAACCCUGGCGGCGAGCGGCGAACGGGUGAGUAACAUAUCGGAACGUACCCCGUCGUGGGGGAUAACACAGCGAAAGCUGUGCUAAUACCGCAUACGACCUGAGGGUGAAAGCGGGGGAUCGCAAGACCUCGCGCGAUGGGAGCGGCCGAUAUCGGAUUAGCUUGUUGGUGAGGUAAAAGGCUCACCAAGGCGACGAUCCGUAGCUGGUCUGAGAGGACGACCAGCCACACUGGAACUGAGACACGGUCCAGACUCCUACGGGAGGCAGCAGUGGGGAAUUUUGGACAAUGGGGGCAACCCUGAUCCAGCCAUUCCGCGUGAGUGAAG
rnacentral:rRNA from 1 species